GAUGAAGAACGUAGCGAAAUGCGAUACGUAAUGUGAAUUGCAGAAUUCAGUGAAUCAUCGAAUCUUUGAACGCACAUUGCGCCCUUGGUAUUCCGGGGGGCAUGCCUGUUCGAGCGUCAUUAUAACCCCUCAAGCUCAGCUUGGUGUUGGGGCCUGCCGACUGGCAGCCCUUAAAAUCAGUGGCGGCGCCAUCUGGCUCUAAGCGUAGUAAUUUCUCUCGCUAUAGAGUCCCGGUGGAUGCUUGCCAGCAACCCCCAACUUUCUAUGGUUGACCUCGGAUCAGGUAGGGAUACCCGCUGAACUUAAGCAUAUCAAUAAGCGGAGGA
rnacentral:misc_RNA from 1 species